GACGAACGCUGGCGGCGUGCUUAACACAUGCAAGUCGAACGGAAAGGCCCUGCUUUUGUGGGGUGCUCGAGUGGCGAACGGGUGAGUAACACGUGAGUAACCUGCCCUUGACUUUGGGAUAACUUCAGGAAACUGGGGCUAAUACCGGAUAGGAGCUCCUGCUGCAUGGUGGGGGUUGGAAAGUUUCGGCGGUUGGGGAUGGACUCGCGGCUUAUCAGCUUGUUGGUGGGGUAGUGGCUUACCAAGGCUUUGACGGGUAGCCGGCCUGAGAGGGUGGCCGGCGGCAUGGGAGGUGAGACACCGACCAGGGUCCUGAGGGAGGCCCCAGUGUGGAAGGGGGGACAACGGGGGGAAGUAUGACACAGCGGGAGCGCGUGUGUGAAGAAGGCCCUGGGGGGGGAAAGCCGUUUUGCGGGGAGAAAACAGCUGCCGGUUGAGACGACGCGGGUGUGACGGUAAUGAAAAAAGAAGCACCGGCUAACUUCGUG
rnacentral:rRNA from 1 species